GUCCGUCUGUCCGCCAGCUAGCUUGCUCUCAGCCUGCCUGCCUGCCUGCCUGCCUGCCUGCCUGCUUUUCAACCUUCACAUGCAUAGACCGUACUCCAGCCGAUAAUGUAUUCGGUACGUGACUUCGUAUUCGACAAAUACAAGAGCGUCCCCGGUCCGGUGCGGCGCGACGACGACUCGGCCACGACCCGGACCAACAAGCAUUGCCAACUACACAUUUGCCGGAUAGAAACAUAAUAUUGCGAGCUGUCGAAUGAAUGAAUUAGCCUGUAGUGCCACUGUGUCACAUCUGACGAAAAAAAGGGUCAUUCGAAGGGAAGCCUCAGGUAUAACGGAGUUUAGAAGGAAAAAUAAUGCCUACUCGGAACACACAAAGCUGUCGGCCAUAAAACACCCAUGUCAGGUCACCCAGCCAACGCGCAGGCGUGCACGACCUGCAUUUUUAUGUCCACGGCCAGAUCCGCGUACAGAUUUUCUCGAAAACGCCGGAUAAAAACGUGAACGAAGAGAAAGGAAAAAAAAAAUAUGCACGCGAAACGUAACGUCACAAUGGUGUCCAGCUGCAGCAUGCAAACUCGUUACCUAUGGCUUGUCCACCUAUCUAUUUGAAUCUUUUCCUAUAUUUCUGGCAAGAUUUUCUCAUUUAUUCAAUUUAUUGUAACUUAAAACGUGACUAAAGGAUAUUAAAUACCAAUUUCUUUAAAGAAACACUGGUAGACCCAGAUUUUUAAUCGGAAAAAGUUUUCCACACCAGUAAUAAAAAAUGAGUUUAUCUGAACUGCUUUUUAGAUUAUGAAGACUGCUACCUUCUAUAAAUUAGGCAUGCUUUAAUGGCUGUUAAUAUAAUCACUUGAAGAUUGAUUUAAUCUUCUAUUAUUCUAUCAAGUUUUUAAAUCAUAUUCUACUUAGAAUUUUAAGAACAGAAAAUAUCUGCCUAGAAUGUACGAUGGAUGUUAUGUACCACAUUUUAUAACGUUUAAUGGUUAAAAAUCACAUAUUAUUUGUUAAAUGUCCUGGCAAAAUGUAUAUAAUUCAUCAAAAAUACCUAUAUGUAUUUACAUUUCACGCAAGGAAGCGGGAUAUCCCAGGUGCUGGAUAUGCUGUGUCAGUAUUUGUCAGCAUCUCAUUAAGAAAGCAUUUUUGCAAGUUACAGAGAAUAAAAUAUGGCCUUAUAGUUUAGCCCUGUAGAGAUAGUAGUAAAAAUUCCUUACUUAGAACGUCCUAAGCCUCCUGUAAUCUUUUAAGUACUACAAACAUGUUUAUGUAUCAAACAAUAGAAAUAACAUAGGCAUUGUGUGCGCAUUGAUACAAUGGAUGAAUUUGAUUUACGAUACGGUUGAAUACCCAUUAUGCGAAAUCAAUGGAGGACAUAAUGAAUUUUCGGAUGUAAUUUUAUUUGAUUACAGUUAUGAAACAUGCAUCCAUCCCUUUUCCUCAAUAAAAUUGUAAUUGAAACGUGCGAAUAUAAAUGAUAUUCUGAUAACGGGAGAUGGAAUAAAAGGGAUUUUACUGUAUUAAUAGUAUUGUUAUCUUUGACAGAAAUUUCUAAAAUUACGAAUUGAAAA